AUGCAAGUCGAGCGAACAGACGAGGAGCUUGCUCCUCUGACGUUAGCGGCGGACGGGUGAGUAACACGUGGAUAACCUACCUAUAAGACUGGGAUAACUUCGGGAAACCGGAGCUAAUACCGGAUAAUAUAUUGAACCGCAUGGUUCAAUAGUGAAAGACGGUUUUGCUGUCACUUAUAGAUGGAUCCGCGCCGCAUUAGCUAGUUGGUAAGGUAACGGCUUACCAAGGCAACGAUGCGUAGCCGACCUGAGAGGGUGAUCGGCCACACUGGAACUGAGACACGGUCCAGACUCCUACGGGAGGCAGCAGUAGGGAAUCUUCCGCAAUGGGCGAAAGCCUGACGGAGCAACGCCGCGUGAGUGAUGAAGGUCUUCGGAUCGUAAAACUCUGUUAUUAGGGAAAAACAAAUGUGUAAGUAACUAUGCACGUCUUGACGGUACCUAAUCAGAAAGCCACGGCUAACUACGUGCCAGCAGCCGCGGUAAUACGUAGGUGGCAAGCGUUAUCCGGAAUUAUUGGGCGUAAAGCGCGCGUAGGCGGUUUUUUAAGUCUGAUGUGAAAGCCCACGGCUCAACCGUGGAGGGUCAUUGGAAACUGGAAAACUUGAGUGCAGAAGAGGAAAGUGGAAUUCCAUGUGUAGCGGUGAAAUGCGCAGAGAUAUGGAGGAACACCAGUGGCGAAGGCGACUUUCUGGUCUGUAACUGACGCUGAUGUGCGAAAGCGUGGGGAUCAAACAGGAUUA
rnacentral:rRNA from 1 species